rnacentral:rRNA from 1 species
AGUCGAACGCAGUAGCAAUACUGAGUGGCAAACGGGUGAGUAUAAUGUGGGAAUCUGCCUUUUGGUUUGGAAUAACACGGGGAAACUUGUGCUAAUACCGAAUAAGCCCUUACGGGGAAAGUUUUAACGCCGAAAGAUGAGCCCGCACUUGAUUAGCUAGUUGGUAAGGUAAAAGCUUACCAAGGCAACGAUCAAUAGCUGUUCUUAGAGGAAGACCAGCCACAUUGGGACUGAGACACGGCCCAGACUCCUACGGGAGGCAGCAGUGGGGAAUCUUGCACAAUGGGGGAAACC